rnacentral:tRNA from 1 species
GCCUGAGUGGCGGAACUGGUAGACGCAGCGGACUCAAAAUCCGCCGAGGCAACCCCUCGUGAAGGUUCGAUUCCUUUCUCAGGCACCA